rnacentral:piRNA from 1 species
UGACACUGAGGGAAUGAAUACACAUGGCU